CCGAGCCUGACGGAGCGUCGUCUCGGCCGGGCUCGGCUCUCGGCUGUUCAGGUCUGUUUACCCGGCAGGCCCGGCGGCGCCUCAGUGAGCGGGCUCGGCACCAGUAUGACUUCGGCUCUGGAGAACUACAUUAACCGUACAGUUGCAGUGGUCACAGCAGAUGGAAGAAUGAUUGUGGCAGGGUACACUAAAAGGAUUUGAUCAGACCAUCAACCUAAUCCUAGACGAAAGUCACGAGCGAGUAUUUAGUUCACAACAAGGUGUGGAACAAGUAGUACUCAGCUUAUACAUAGUGAGAGAAGACAAUGUAUAAUUGGGACAGCCACUUAAUGAGGCCAAAAUGUACUUGUCCCAAUGUGUCCCAAUUGACCAGAAGCCGCUGUAUUUGUAAUAAUCACGGAAAUAAUGAGCAUGCAUGGAUGAUGCUUGCAUUUUGCAGAUCCUCCUUCAAGUUGGUGGGACAAUUCAUGAAUCUUCGUAAAACAGACAGAUAAAUUAAAAUAUUAAAGUUCAAAACAGCUUUAGUAAUUGUAAUAAACUACACUGAUUUACAUUUCUGGA